rnacentral:rRNA from 1 species
UACGUAGGGUGCGAGCGUUGUCCGGAAUUAUUGGGCGUAAAGGGCUUGUAGGCGGUUUGUCGCGUCGGGAGUGAAAUCCACUGGCUUAACUGGUGGCUUGCUUUCGAUACGGGCAGACUGGAGGUAUGCAGGGGAGAACGGAAUUCCUGGUGUAGCGGUGAAAUGCGCAGAUAUCAGGAGGAACACCGGUGGCGAAGGCGGCUCGCUGGGACGUGACUGACGCUGAGACGCGAAAGCGUGGGGAGCAAACAGG